UGCUGGGCCAGGCGGAUCCUGGCCCAGCCCUGCCUUCUGGGCCGGGCCUGGCCCAGAAGGCAGCAUUAGUAUUUUUGGGCCGAUGUCGGCCCAAUCCAUUUUUUGGGCCGAAAUCGGCCCAAACACCA